CAGUAGCCGCGGUAAAACAGGGGAUGCAAGCGUUAUCCGGAAUGAUUGGGCGUAAAGCGUCUGUAGGUGGCUUCUCAAGUCCGCCGUCAAAUCCCAGGGCUCAACCCUGGACAGGUGGUGGAGACUACCAAGUUGGAGUACGGUAGGGGCAGAGGGAAUUUCUGGUGGAGCGGUGAAAUGCGUUGAGAUCGGAAAGAACACCAACGGCGAAAGCACUCUGCUGGGCCGGCACUGACACUGAGAGACGAAAGCUAGGGGAGCAAAUGGAUUAGAUACCCCCGUAGUCCCUGUCUCUUAUACA
rnacentral:rRNA from 1 species